rnacentral:lncRNA from 1 species
UUUUUUUUUUUUUUUUUUUGGUUUUUCGGGCCGCACACAAGGCAUGUGGAGGUUCCCAGGCUAGGGGUCAAAUUGGAGCUACAGCUGCUGGCCUUCACUACAGCCACGUCAGAUCCGAGCCACAUCUGCGACCUACACCACAGCUCGUGGCAAUGCCAGAUCCUUAACCCACUGAGCAAGGCCAGGGAUCAAACCCACAACCUCAUGGUUCCUACUCGGAUUCAUUGCUGUUGCGCCAUGACCAGAACUCCAAGCUCUUUUAUUUUAUUUUUUUUUUACUGGAGAAGGACUGAAUAAAUGAGGAGACACAGAAAGUAAUGCUAAAGAAGGGUGUGCCUUUAAAAUUACGAGAUCAAAAGGCGACCACCUGAGUCCUUGGCCCCCUCCCGCCGCCCCAUGUUUCUCUACAGCAUCUUGUAAAUGGAUAGCUUACCAAAGUUAAAAGUCCACCAUGGCCACUCUAAUUCAAGGUUAUAUUGAUAAGUUUAACCUGCUAUUUCAUCCUUAAAGUGAAAUUGUAUUCACCUGAGGCCUCGCAGGGGCUCUGCUCCAGCUUAAGUCAGAUCCACUCUUGACCCCAGACUAGAUCCUGACAAUGUCAGAUGUGAGCAGUUUUUCAGAGGCAGGCCAGCAAAAACAAUGCUCACAGGGUCAGAAAGCUCAUAAGGCAAAAACUUUGGACCCAGGACCCAAGACCGAGAGGACCAGCCCAGUGCCUCCAGAGGCAGCAGGAGAAGCGCGAGGACAAGGGACUCAGCAGGUACCUUUCCUGGUUGCUCAGGCUCUUGGGGGCUGUGGAGUCUCUUUCCAGUCCCCCUCUGACACCAGAGCUGUUCAAAGAUUAAACCGGUGUGUAUUAAAAAUUCUAAGAACCAAAGUUGAUUGGAAUCAGGGAGCAUUCAGUGUAUCAGGGGGAGAGAAACUCUGCGAAGCUGCACAAAAUGAAGGACUUUUGUGAGCAGGAGGGAGCGGGAGCAAGGGAGUUUUCUUAGUCGAAAGGCAUGGUUUUUGCAGAGUUACUUUCCUGGAGGGGCGGCAGGACCAUCAGGGGCUUCUGAUAGACUUAUUUAAGGUUCCACUUCUGGGAGAACUGCUGCUGUUUGUCUCGGUUUGGUGACGUGGGGCUUAGGAUAAGCUCCUGUGUUUUGGGGUCUGUGUCUUGUUUUUACCAAGGGCUGAGACCCUGUCUUUAUCUUUGUUGGAAAGAGAGGGUGGAGGUGACAUUCCGGGCACUGAAAUGGCAGAUGCAAGCUUUGUUUUCAUGUCCGUGUGUGCUCAGACCUUGUGAGAAGUACAGCUGGUCCGUGUUCGCUUUUUUUCUGCACCCGAAGUAAUGUGAUCAGAUUCCUUGUUUUAAUGGCCACAAGUUCAGCAGAUAAUAGGAGCAAAGCUACCCAAUCAAGGCAUGAAUAGAGCAGUUGUACUAACUCAGUCCCAAUCCUGUGUCCUGGGAGGCCGUGGGGCAGGUAUUAAAUUUUGUUUCACUUGUUACCAAGAAUCCCGUUUUCCUCUGGGCGCCUCAAAUCUCACAAUCUCCUACCCAAGCAAUUAGAAAUCAUCCUUGAAAGCACACUUUGGAGAAAAGAAAAUCCAUUGCAUAGUUUGUUUCUGAAGCUUAAUGUAAUUUAAGCUUAGGUUUUGUCUUUGGAAAAUUACACCAGGAAAACAUGUAUUUCAGAUGACCUUGAACAUUCUAAUGUCUGUGCCACGACAACUAGGACUUUGCACCGGGAAGGGACCAGGACUUGGGUUCUGAACAUGGCCUUGGAGUUCCAGCGUGACUGGGAAGACAGCUACCUUGCUGGGCUGCUCUGUGUUCUUUUCAUUAGGUUUCCUUGGCGAAUAAAUGGCUGGAGAAAAUGGUUUGAAAAUUUAGAAUACUCUGCAAGGAUUAGUAAUUUGCAUAAUUUCAAACUCUUGGAGGAGACAUCUUGUAAACUGCACCUAAGUGUGAUCCAUCAUCAUCUAUUUAUCAUGUCAGUACUAAAAUGAUGAAUGAUGCUUGCUGGUGUAGAUGUAGAAAUGAACCUUUCCAUCACAGAGCAGACAUAUCUGAAAGUACAGCGGGAGUCAUCACUGUUGGAUGAGACCCUUUUUAUUUUUUAUUAUCUUAUUUUUGUCUUUUUAGGGCUGCACCCACGGCAUAUAGAGGCUCCCAGGCUAGGGGUCCAAUUGGAGGUAUAGCUGCUGGCCUGCACCACAGCCACAGCCAUGCCAGAUCCAAGCCAUGUGUGCAACUUACACUGCAGCUCAUGGCAAUGCAGGAUCCUUAACCCAUGGAGCGAGGCCAGGGAUGGGACAUCGUGCAUCCUCAUGGAUGCUAGUCAGAUUCCUUUGCGCUGAGCCACGGUGGGAACUCGAUGAGAUUCUUGUAGAAGCCAGGUUGAGACAGCUGGUUUUCUUUUCCUGUAAUUCCUUGCUUUUGGGUUUAAGGUAAAUGACCCUUUAGAGGAUACACUGUAUACAGGAAAAUCAAAAGACGGUUGUAUUACGUGAUCCCUAAAAUCCUUCAAAAGAAAGUUCUUUGUAACAAAAUACCUUCCCCGUCGAAAAAUACCUUCCGCAUCAACCUCCAGAGUUUCUACGUGUAGUGAAUGCGUGUAGUGUCAUAUUCUUUAUCUUCUUGGACUUGUAACAUCUAAGUGACUGUGUGGCCUCCUAAAUAAUUGAACUGCUCGCUUUUCGCACUUUCAGGGACUGGGUGGCUGACGUGUGUGAGAGCUGUGCCCUUUUCUGAUUUUCAUCAGAUUCUUGGCAAAACAACUUUAUUUUACUCCACCCUCAUAUUUUUAUUGCGUCCAUCAUCCAAAACAAAAACUACUUAAAUGAAAACUCUGUACUUGAAAGGUUCUCUUCUUUCUCAGUAUAGUAUCUAAAACUAUUCCAUUUCCUUAAAUCAAAAUAUAUAAAUGUAUAUGAUAUAAAUGCUUAGGAUAAGGAAGGAAGAAAGAAGGAUGGUGAAAUAAAUAGGACAGCUCUCAGGUUUCCCUGACACCAGAAACACCUGUCUUAUUUGCUAAUGUGCAUAGAUAGGUUUGGUCCAGCUUCAUCUGCCAUCCUCUGCCCCACGGCAGCCAAGAUGAUGUGUGAUCCUUCCUGAGAAUAAGAACUGGGACUCAUGGUGGGGUGAGCGUAAAGGGGUGGGAUAUCCCCCCUGUUCUAAUAAGGUAGGAAUGGCUUGUGACCUUUCCUCCUAUUCCCUAAAACCUCAUGUUGAACCACUGAGGACGCAGGAAAGUUGUUUCUUUUAAUUAAUUAACUUAUUUUUGUCAAUUUAUUGUCUUUUUAGGUCCUCACCCGUGGCAUAUGGAGGUUCCAAGGCUAGGGGUUGAAUCAGAGCUGUAGCCACCAGUCUAUACCACAGCCACAGCAAUGCCAGAUCUGAGCCAUGCCUGCGACCUUCACCACAGCUCACAGCAAUGCGAGAUCCUUAACCCACUGAGUGAGGCCAGGGAUUGAACCGGCAACCUCAUGGUUCCUAGUUGGAUUCAUUUCUGCUGUGCCAUGAUGGGAACUCGGGAAAGGUGCCUUAAUCAGAAAGGCUGGCAAUCUGGGGAGAAGGUGGACUCAUGUCCAGAGAACUCUGAAGAUUCCACUGAACCAUAUGGUAAUUUUUAAAUGGAAAAGGGGAAAGAAUCUCAGUGAAUCAUCAGUUGUUGGCUUCUGCAUCAUCCCUUUUUUUUUCUUGCUUUUUAGGGCCUCAUACAAGGCAUAUGGAAGUUCCCAGCCUAGGGGUCAAAUCAGAGCUGUAGCUGCCAGCCUACGCCACAGCCACAGCAAUGUGGGAUCUGAACUGCGUCUGUGACCUACACCACAGCUCACGGCACUGUCAGAGCCUUAAUCCCCUGAGCAAGGCCAGAGAUUGAACCCUAGUCCUCAUGGAUGCCAGUCGGAUUCAUAUCCAUUGUGUCACAACAGGAGCUCCUUCUGCAUCAUUGUUGAUUGUUUGCAGUCUUGCCGACUUUUCAGAUAUUAUCUUGCCUGUAUGAUCUCUGUCCACCUGCCGGAUAGGAUUGGCUAAGGGAGCUGUGGAGAGUAGAGAGCUAGUCAUUCUUCAAUUAUUUAAUUUUUCAUUCCUAUUUUUUCUGUCUAGGAAAAGAAUCAACAGGUUAGGCAAGGGAUGGUGUGCAUUCAGGAGAGCCUAAGUCUGGAGUUAGGAUAAACUGCCUAGGGAUCUCAUUCCUAUCAUUUCAUUCUUGUAAAGUUAGAGGGGAAGAGAAAUGGGCCAACAGGAAGCGUGUAAAAGAGCUGCUUUGAAUUCCCCACUGUCAAACAUCAUUGCAUUUUUCCCUGGGAUUCGGGGUGAAGGUCCCUCUUAGGUACCUUCUUCAGGAUGUUGGGGGGCACCGUAUUCUCAGCGUGGAAGAUGUCGCCGUGGCUCCAGUAGCCUUUCUUUCCUGACAUUUUUAGUUGUCUGCCUACAUACACGGGCAGAACCAAGCUACAAGUAUUUUCAUGCUCACAAAGAUACAGAUUUUUAUGAGCAAUGAUGUUAAUCUCCUUCUCCUGGGGCCACUUCUUGGAAUUGUGCCGGCCACAGCGUCGUCCAGCGCGUGUCAAGGCCACCGGUCAUCAUGCAGUUAGCUUUUUUCCCUCUGGGGGUAGUUAGAGUAUCUGUAAAACAAGCCAGGAAUGUGAAUCAGACACGGAGUCUGCAAUUCCAUUGUCCUAAUCAUUAACUGCUCUUCUGUGACUCUGCGAGGCCUGAGAGACUUGAGCU